GUGUGUGUGUGUGUGUGUGUGUGUGUGUGUGUGUGUGUGUGUGUGUGUGUGUGUGUCCCAGAACUCCAAUUUGAAAAGGACAGGACUGACUCCUCCUUCCUUGACUUUCCUCAUCAUCCCACACAGGGAUGGUAAGGCACAGGGUGUGUGUGUGUGUGUGUUUGCUUUUUAUUAGUGGUUUUUUUGUUUUUGUUUGUUAUUGUUAUUGUUUGAGCAACUCUACUCUCAGAGAUGCAAGUUAUACACACCUAGGCAGGCGUGGGAGAGCCUGUCAGUCAGAGUCUGACUGGAGAUGCAGCCCCACCACCGGAGACCAGCAUGUCCUAAGGAGUUUUGAAGGUCACGUCAAACCUGCUAAAAAGCAGGAGUUGGCCACGUGCCUCCAAUUCGGUAUAGCUGUUUCCAGGAGAAGAAACUCAACCUAGCUUUUCCGGCUGCAAACACAUGCUGUGUUUGAGAUCAAGUUCAAAGCAAGAGGAUCCUAGAAGGAAGAAAUUUGAAGUAAUCAAAAGAGGAACCUUUUUCUUAGUUGACACUUCAUCAAUACACACAGACUAAAUGGUUGCGGAGGCUCUGGCUUCUCAUCGCCCAGUUUCACUGACUGAAUAAUCAGAACAGAAUCCACACCAGGAAGACAGCAUGAAUGGCUCUGCGCAUCUGCCUCUCGACAAGAGCUGUGCGGAUUACGAAUACACCUCCAGCGAUGGGCCUAACAGGCACACCAUGAGGCGAAAGAUGUCUGAGAAAAUCUACAGAACUCCAGCGAGAAAAGUGUGAGUCUGUGGCAUUCCAGCCAAGCUCCCGAACCCUCCUACCUUUCUGAUCAGAGAGGGAAACUCCACCCCACACAGGUAAAGUCAGAAACACAAGACUCCCCCUCUUCUUAAGUGUGUGUGGGUGUGGGUGUGUGGGUGUGUGGGUACUUUCCUGGGAAAGAUACUGCAAUUCUCCUUUAGCUAUCUGUUGCUAAAACUAAGUUCUGAGUGAGCAUGGGAGGGUAGUACAGGCUGCCUUCUGACAGCCCCAUUCAUGUGAUGGAAACUUUAUGUUGCUCACAGUCAUUGAGAGUGCAGGGGUCCUGAUGGAGCUUGUUUUUGGCUCAUGAAGAGGCAAGCUAAUCUCUUCUGAAAUGAUACCACUGUGGUGGUUUAGGUGAGACUGGCUCCUAUAGGCUCAUAUAUUUGAAUUUUGGUUCCUUCUUAGUGGGAACGUUUGGGGAGGAUUAGGAGGGGUGGCUUCUGUUGGAGGAAGAGUGUCACUGAAAAGGUCAACUCUUGUUCUUGUUCUGUCUGCAACUUUUCGAUCAGAUGUGAGUUCUUGGCUUCUGCUCCAUCACCCAUGCAUGCCACCAUGAUCCACACCAGCAUGGACUAACCCUCUGAAAAUGCAAGCAAGCCUCUAAGUGCUGUAUUUUAUAAGUUGCCUUUUUUAAAGUUAACUAUUUUAUAAGUUUUAAUAAGUAGGCCUCCUCACAGCCAUAGAAUAUCAACUAAGACAGUCAGAGAGAAUAUGUCAUUGUUCCCUAGCACCAUGAAGUUGGAUUCGAAUUGCUCACAGUAAAAAAAAAAAAAAAAAAAAAAAAAAGAACCAACCCAAGAUGGAU